GCUGCUUACUUUGGCACCACAUACUAAAAUUGAAACGAUACAGAGAAGAUUAGCAUGGCCCCUGCACACGGAUGACUCACAAAUUUGUAAAGUGUUCCAUAUUUUU
rnacentral:snRNA from 1 species